rnacentral:rRNA from 1 species
GACAGAGGGUGCAAACGUUGUUCGGAUUUACUGGGCGUAAAGAGCGCGCAGGCGGUCGUUCAAGUCGCGUGUGAAAGCCCCCGGCUCAACUGGGGAGGGUCACGCGAUACUGAUCGACUCGAAGGCAGGAGAGGGUAGUGGAAUUCCCGGUGUAGUGGUGAAAUGCGUAGAUAUCGGGAGGAACACCAGUGGCGAAGGCGACUACCUGGCCUGUUCUUGACGCUGAGGCGCGAAAGCUAGGGGAGCAAACGGGG